rnacentral:lncRNA from 1 species
AUGCCUUGCUUCUGGAUUGGUGCCAGAAGCAGCAUCCCCUCUGUCUGGGGUGCCAGGGACGGUGCUGAGCUCCCUCACUGCUGCCUGCAAGAAAAGCAAGCGGAGCCCCAGAGCUGCCCCCUCCCCGGUGCAAGGCACUCCGGCAGCGGCACAAAUCCUGCCCUCCUGGGUGCUGGAUCGGGAAGGGGCGAGCGCGCAGGCGAGCCCUCGGCCACGUCCCCAGAGCCCCUGCAAGCUGCUGGGGUUAACCCAGGGAUUAAAUGCUUCUCCCUCACCCAGCCGCCAGCUCCGGCAACAGGUGGGAGCGCUCAAGGCCACGCUGCUACGCGGGCACAGCCCCGGCACGGGUUUGGCCCUUGGGCUCCUGUCCCCAGCAGGGACCACGCGGCACUGACUGUGCCGUGCGAAGGGAGAGCAGCAGGAGCUGUGAAGCCCCCAUCUCCGGGUCCAGAGGCAACCUCCAGCGCCCCGAUCCCUGCCGGGAGACCGAGGGACCGGGUCACCUCCUGCAAGCCAAGGGAUUCACCUGUGUGUCCUGCAGCGGUGCCACUGCCCCCGGCAUCCCUUGUGUCCCCAAGGUCUCUGCUGGGGAUGGCAGUGCCCCCCCCACCCCAGGCAAACAGGGACCUGGGACAGAAGUUGGGGAGAUGGAUGGGCACAUUCUGGUUUAAACUUGGAUGUCAAAAAAAAAGUGUGUUUUGCACUCAUUCUGUCUUUCGGACUCUAUCCUCCCCCCUCCAGGGCCCCCCCAGCCUGCUGGAGCCAGCCCCAGGCUGGCCUGUGUUCUUCAGUGGGGGGGUCACCGGGGACAGUGGCGGGGAGCAGAGGGGCCGCGGGGCACCUCAGCCGGGCAAAGGGAGGGCAGACAGCUUGCAGAGGGGCCCGCCGGUGGUGGUGGGGGGGGUCGGCCAAAUGCCCCCCCCCCUUUCUGUUUUUAUUCCUCCAACUCCCCAACCCGCUUGCCUCGGGCUGAUGUGUCAUUUGUUCCUGCCAGGGGAGAGCGACCCCCCCCACACACAACCCCCCCUUUUAAAUUCCUGCUAUUGUGAAGUGGGAGGCCGGGCUGGACCUGGUUAUUUAGAUGACAUCACCAAGCAGGUUGGGUUAUAA